GCCCCUGACUCAAAGGAGAGCUUCUCCCCUCCGAGGGAGGAGGAGGAGGUUCAACUCCUCCCAGGGGCU
rnacentral:tRNA from 1 species